rnacentral:rRNA from 1 species
GACGAACGCUGGCGGCGUGCUUAACGCAUGCAAGUCGAACGGAAAGGCCUGCUUUCCCUUGUGGAUUGCGGGUACUCGAGUGGCGAACGGGUGAGUAACACGUGAGUGAUCUGCCCCCAACUUGGGUAUAAGCCUGGGAAACUGGGUCUAAUUCCCGAUAGGACUGCAGGGUGGUGCCUGUGGUGGAAAACGAUUUUCUAGUGGUUGGGGAUGAGCUCGCGGCCUAUCAGCUUGUUGGUGGGGUAAUGGCCUACCAAGGCGGCGACGGGUAGCCGGCCUGAGAGGGUGGACCGCCACAUUGGGACUGAGAUACGGCCCAGGCUCCUACGGGAGGCAGCAGUGGGGAAUAUUGCACAAUGGGCGGAAGCCUGAUGCAGCGACGCCGCGUGGGGGAUGACGGCCUUCGGGUUGUAAACUCCUUUCGACCGCGAGGAAGCCACCUGGUUGGAAGGGUGGUGACGGUAGUGGUAGAAGAAGCACCGGCUAACUACGUG